AGCAGUAGCCGCGGGAAUACGAAGGGUGCAAGCGUUACUCGGAAUUACUGGGCGUAAAGCGUGCGUAGGUGGUGGUUUAAGUCCGUUGUGAAAGCCCUGGGCUCAACCUGGGAAUUGCAGUGGAUACUGGGUCACUAGAGUGUGGUAGAGGAUAGUGGAAUUUCCGGUGUAGCAGUGAAAUGCGUAGAGAUCGGAAGGAACAUCUGUGGCGAAGGCGACUAUCUGGGCCAACACUGACACUGAGGCACGAAAGCGUGGGGAGCAAACAGGAUUAGAGACCCCGGUAGUCCCUGUCUCUUAUAC
rnacentral:rRNA from 1 species